rnacentral:misc_RNA from 1 species
AAGUCGUAACAAGGUUUCCGUAGGUGAACCUGCGGAAGGAUCAUUACAGUGUUCGCUGCCCUCACGGGUAGCAAACCUCACCCUUGUGUAUUAUAUCUUUGUUGCUUUGGCACGCCGCCUUCGGGUACCGGCUUUGGCUGGCUCGCGCGUGUCAGAGAAUCUAAAACUCUGAAUGUUAGUGUCGUCUGAGUACUAUCUAAUAGUUAAAACUUUCAACAACGGAUCUCUUGGUUCUG